UACAGAGGGUGCAAGCGUUGUUCGGAAUUAUUGGGCGUAAAGCGCGUGUAGGCGGCUUAGCAAGUCGGGCGUGAAAGCCCUCGGCUCAACCGAGGAAGUGCACCCGAAACUGCUGAGCUUGAGUGCCGGAGAGGAUGGCGGAAUUCCCCAAGUAGAGGUGAAAUGCGUAGAGAUGCGGAGGAACACCGAUGGCGAAGGCAGCCCCCUGGGCCAAUACUGACGCUCAGGCACGAAAGCGUGGGGAGCAAACAGG
rnacentral:rRNA from 1 species